GACGAACGCUGGCGGCGUGCUUAACACAUGCAAGUCGAACGGAAAGGCCCUGCUUUUGUGGGGUGCUCGAGUGGCGAACGGGUGAGUAACACGUGAGUAACCUGCCCUUGACUUUGGGAUAACUUCAGGAAACUUGGGCUAAUACCGGAUAGUAGCUCCUGCUGCAUGGUGGGGGUUGGAAAGUUUCGGCGGUUGGGGAUGGACUCGCGGCUUAUCAGCUUGUUGGUGGGGUAGUGGCUUACCAAGGCUUUGACGGGUAGCCGGCCUGAGAGGGUGCCCGGCCACAUUGGGACUGAGAUACGGCCCAGACGCCUACGGGAGGCAGCAGUGAGGAAUAGUGCACAAUGGGCGGAAGCCUGAGGCAGCAACGCCGCGUGCGGGAUGACGGCCUUCGGGUUGUAAACCGCUUGCGCCUGUGACGAAGCGUGAGUGACGGUAAUGGGUAAAGAAGCACCGGCUAACUACGUG
rnacentral:rRNA from 1 species